UACGGAAGGCAGCAGUGGGGAAUAUUGCACAAUGGGCGCAAGCCUGAUGCAGCCAUGCCGCGUGUAUGAAGAAGGCCUUCGGGUUGUAAAGUACUUUCAGUCGUGAGGAAGGUGUUAAGGUUAAUAACCUUAGCAAUUGACGUUAGCGACAGAAGAAGCACCGGCUAACUCCGUGUCAGCAGCCGCGGUAAUACGGAGGGUGCGAGCGUUAAUCGGAAUUACUGGGCGUAAAGGGCACGCAGGCGGUUAAUUAAGUUGGAUGUGAAAUCCCCGGGCUUAACCUGGGAAUGGCAUUCAAGACUGGUUAGCUAGAGUCUUGUAGAGGGGGUAGAAUUCCAUGUGUAGCGGUGAAAUGCGUAGAGAUGUGGAGGAAUACCGGUGGCGAAGGCGGCCCCUGGACAAAGACUGACGCUCAUGUGCGAAAGCGUGGGGAGCAAACAGGAUUAGAUA
rnacentral:rRNA from 1 species